GAUGAAGAACGCAGCGAAAUGCGAUAAGUAAUGUGAAUUGCAGAAUUCAGUGAAUCAUCGAAUCUUUGAGCGCACAUUGCGCCCGCCAGUAUUCUGGCGGGCAUGCCUGUUCGAGCGUCAUUUCAACCAUCAAGCCCUGCUUGCGUUGGGGUCCUGCGGCUGCCCGCAGGCCCUGAAAACCAGUGGCGGGCUCGCUAGUCACACCGAGCGCAGUAAUACAUCUCGCUUUGGGCGUGCGGCGGGUUCUUGCCGUUAAACACCCCCUUUUUACCAAGGUUGACCUCGGAUCAGGUAGGAAUACCCGCUGAACUUAAGCAUAUCAAUAAGCGGAGGA
rnacentral:misc_RNA from 1 species